rnacentral:rRNA from 1 species
CAGCAGCCGCGGGAAUACGGAGGGGGCUAGCGUUGUUCGGAAUUACUGGGCGUAAGGCGCACGUAGGCGGCUUGGUAAGUUAGAGGUGAAAGCCCGGAGCUCAACUCCGGAAUUGCCUUUAAGACUGCCGAGCUAGUAGGUGAGAGAGGUAAGUGGAAUUCCGAGUGUAGAGGUGAAAUUCGUAGAUAUUCGGAAGAACACCAGUGGCGAAGGCGGCUUACUGGCUCAUUCUAGACGCUGAGGUGCGAAAGCGUGGGGAGCAAACAGGAUUAGAGACCCCCGUAGUCCCUGUCUCUUAUAC